rnacentral:rRNA from 1 species
CCUGCCCUAUGAUUUAUUAAAUGGCCGCGGUAUUUUAACCGUGCGAAGGUAGCAUAAUCAUUAGCCCAUUAAUUGUGGGCUUGUAUGAAUGGUUGGACGAAAUAUGUACUGUCUCAUUUUAUUGAUUAUAAUUUGAUUUUUGAGUUAAAAAGCUUAUAUUUUUUUAAAGGACGAGAAGACCCUAUAGAUCUUUAUUUUUUAUUUGUCAAUUAUAUUUUUGGUUUAAUGUUUAUUUUGAUUUAUUUAAUUGUUUUGUUGGGGUGACAUGGGGAUAUAAUUUAAACUCUUCAUUUUUGUUUUCAUUGAUUUAUGUUUAUUUGACCUUUUAUUAUUGUUUUAAGAUUUAGAUACCUUAGGGAUAACAGCGUUAUUUUUCUUGAGAGUUCAUAUCGACAGAUAAGAUUGCGACCUCGAUGUUGGAUUAAGAUUAUUAUUAGGUGUAGUCGCUUGAUUAUUAAGGUCUGUUCGACCUUUAAAUUCUUACAUGAUCUGAGUUA